UUUUGGAAGAUCUGCAGUGUAAAUGAUGUUUUUCUUGGCUUUUCCUGCUGCCAGCUUAGUGUUUGGCUUUUCCAGAUCUGCAAGAUCAAUUAUCAUCACAUAGUCUCUGGUGUUCUCUUUGUCCUUGUGGUUUUAUCCCUUCACUGUAAUCUUAGUGGCAUUGGGAGAGCUUAAGAAUGAGCCUAUAUUGUAAAUAUGCUAAAAACCACUGCACUGUGCAUCGUAAGUGGUGAACUUUAUGGCGUAUGAAUUCUAUAUCAAUAAAACAAAUUUUUAAAAAUGAGUAAAUGUAUGAGAAAUGCAUCUCAAAGUCUGAUUCCAGAUUUUACAUCAUCAUCAUCAUCAUCAUCAUCAUCAUCAUCAUCACUAUUAUUACUUGAGAGGCAGAGAGACAGAAAAAGAGUGAGCGAGAGAGAGACCAAAGAAUGAGAGAGCGAGCGAGCUUGUAUCUGUUGGUUCAUUGCUCUGGUACCUGAAAUAGCUGGAGAGGGCCAGGUUGAAGUUGGGAAGGAACUCAGUCCAGGCCUCCUACGUGGGUAGCAGGGCCAACUACCUAUCACCUGAUGCCUUCCAGGGUAUGCAUGAGCAGGAAGCAGGAGCUGGGAGAAGCCAGUACUUGAACAUGGUCACUCUGACAUGGGGUGCAGGUGUCCCAGCCAUCAGAUCAAAUGCCUGCUCUGUGACUCCAGAGUUUAGAAGCCCAGGACUGUGAGGGUUAUAAAUGAUGGUUCUGCUAAAACCACUCGGGUGUUGGGAGUCCUAUUUGGCCUUUGCAGAGUUGCUUUUUGUUGCCAGGGACACAGACUGUGGCUCUUAACCCUGACAGCACUUGUCCUUCUAGCCUGCCCCCUUUCUGCAAGAAGAAUAUUGGAACUCUGAAGAAUGAGCCAUCCUUCUAGGAGUGAAAUGGCCUGUAAGGCACGGAUUCAAACACUGUUAAAGCCGAAGGAGGCCAUGAGGACUCCUCUCCUGGAUUAUGUGAACUGGUUCAAAAUUGCAGCAUCAUAUGCACUCUGGUGUUUGAUUGGUCCAAGUCAGAACCGCUCUGGGACAAAGCUCUCUGCUAUGGCCUGUGAAAGCAGUGGAAGAUGGCCCAAGUCCUUGGGCCCCUGUACGCACGUAGGAGACCCGGAAGAAGCUCCUGGCUCCUGGCUUUGGAUCGGCACAGCUCUGACCGUUGCGGCCAAUUGGGGAGUGAACCAUCGGACGGAAGACCUCUCUCUCUCUCUGCUUCUCUCUCAGUGUA